rnacentral:lncRNA from 1 species
UCGAAUACUUGAAAUUUUUUUAAAAUGCUUAACAUGCAAAGAACAUUGGAGAUUCUAACUUCUUAGAAUCUCUGACGUUAGAGACAAACUAUAUCAUUCUUAGUUAGAGACAAACUAUAUCGUAAAUAAAGGCGUUGAACACGGGUACUCUAAAGGAUUUAUACACGCAAUAAAACAUAACAUAGAAACCAGUCAGACAAGCGAAAACCAGGAUAAAGACAACAAAGGUCCCUAAGAACUAAAUGGGAAGAAGUAUGUAGCUAUGCCACAACAUCUAGCUAAACUCCUGGCUACUAAAAAAGCAGCAAAAUUAACCAAGAGAACAGUAGCAACAAGAAGAGGUCCGACGGUUUUUUCAACCUUAAGGAACAGCAAAGACAGACUACAAGAUAAAGAAAAAGCUGGAGUUUAUACCAUACCGUUAAAAGAAAAAUCGAACAACCAAGCUAAAGAAUACAUUGGUGUAAUGUCGAGAACAUUAUUAGAAAGGCUAAACGAACACAAGGCAGAUAUAAAAAAUGCAAGAACCAC